GCUGCAAUGACGCAAUGGCAGCGUGCUGGUCUUCGGAACCAGAAGUUGCGGGUUCGAGUCCCGCUUGCGGCU
rfam:Plasmodiophora brassicae isolate e3 genome assembly, contig: scaffold_16